AGGAGCACGGACAGCGAGGGCCUGGGAAACGCGUGGAACACACGUCCCGGCUCGUUUUCCUCUCCCACUCUGAUAACCUGUGUUUCGAUACGAAACGGGCCCUGCCUCAUUAUUUGUCAUCUCCCUGGAGGUGACGGAGGGCUGUUUCAACCUCAGGGGAAAAGUUGCUGUACAGAACACAGGCCAGAGUGUGCCCCAAAGAAAUCAGGCGGUGGAGUGAUUUAAAAGUGAUCAUUUUCUGUAGUCCUAGCUACUCGGGAGGCUGAGGCAGGAAAAUCGCUUGAACCCGGGAGAAGAAGGAUGCAGUGAGCAGAGAUCGUGCCAUUGCACUUCAGCCUGGCGACAGAGCAAGACUCCGUCUCAAAAAGAAAAAAAAAAAGUGAUCAUUUUCAUGUGAGUUUAUGUGGGUGAGAGAGGGAGGGUGGCAGGAGAGGAGAGUGGAGAGGAGAGUGGUGCGUUCUGUGUCCCUGAAGGACAAAAUCAGAGAAAAUGAACUUUAAAUGGCAGAAAUUGUGGUCAGAUCUGGGGAAGGGCCAUCAGGUUUUCACACUCAGGCAUGGAGGGUGUAGUGUCUGGAACCUUUAGGAAGAGCCCCAGGCUCUAAGUGUGUGCUGGAUGUUCGUCGUUAUUGUUGUUGGUGGUGGGAUCUCAUGACCAGUUAUGGCAGUGGGUACCUGGGAGAAUUCCCGUGGGGGAUAGCUAGUCCAGGAGCUUGUAUCUUAAGGGGCCCUAUUUCCCAGCCGCAUACUGAGCAGGCCUGAUCCCAUCAACUCGGUUGAUGUCGGUUACUAAGAGGGCUGCAGGAAGAGGGCAUGACUCAGUGCAAUGUAACCCCGUGCUGGAGAUUCAACUGAGCUCUCAACCAGCAAGUGGCCAGGCACAGGGGAGCUGCUGUCUACACACGGAGGACUGGAAGUUCUUAGCAAGCCUGUCGGGAUUUGUGCACAGGAAUGCUGCCUCUAAGGUCCCUCCUGCUGACAAUGGCCAGGGCAGUGCGGAGGCUCCUCUUUGGAAAUUGUCUUCAGAGCUGAUGCAGACUCUUUUGAAAGCAGCCACAGACAUUGGGGAUGGAGUCUGGUGGUUAAGGUGAGUGCUUACUCCAAUUCUCAAACAGGGACCAAUUUGAAUCACAGACUACAGGAGUCAGAAGAUUCUCUAGAACAGAGGUUCUCCGUGUGGUCCCCAUACCAGCAGCAUCACCUAGGAACUUGAUAGAAAUGUACAUUCUUGGGCCUCCUACCCCAGGCAUGCUGAAUCAGAGCUCUGGGGUGGGGCCUAGCAAUCUGCCUGUUAACAAGCCCCCUGCACCCCUGAUAUUCUGAUGCUUGUUCAACUUAUACAAAUCAGAGAGUUAGACUUUUCUGGGUCACGAACCCUGAAAAAUCAGACGAAACUGUAGAAACUCCUACCAGAAAAAUGCACAGGCACAUUCAUGCAUACCUUCAAAGGUCUGCACACAAUUUCAAGGGCCUAAUUCCUUGGGCUAAGAACCUCUGAUCUACACAAAAUUCUUCCCUCAAAUGUUCUUACAUUUGAGGACGGAAGCAGGAAGAGUAAUUGCCUGUGUGAUUCAAUGUGGGCAGAAGGUGGCGCUGUAGAAACAGAAUUGUAGCAUUUGCCAAAUCCUGGUAGAGGGAAAGGGGUAGGGGCAACGGAGAGGGAUGGGGAGAGGUGCCUCCACCACCCAAUUAUUUUUCUCUGCCAAAGCUACAGAUGCAUCCGAUAGUCGCAAAACCACAGGUCUGGGGACCUAGUUCUGGUUUCCUAGAUCGGCCUCAUUUUACAGUGGAGAAAAUGGACACCUGUAUAGGUUCCGACUCCAUGCCACACUGGGUCCCAUGGAGAAUGGCAGGUCUGGUGGAGAGUGUGGUGGAGGUGGAGAGGGGGCAGGAGGUGGCACCAACUGUUGAAUCAGGCUUAUUAGCAUUUCUGCAUUCCAGGCAGAAACAUUGCUGGCUAUUCUCAAGGGAGAAUAAUACUACAUUUGUCUGAUGUGAACCUCACAAUAAUCCUAUUAUUAUUUAAUAGAUGAGGAAACUGGGAUUUACAAUCCGAGAUUGAUGGUUCUCUAACUUGAGCAUCAGUUCACCUGGAAGGCUUGUGAGGACAGACUUCUGGGCCCUACCCCCAGAGCUUCUGAUUCUGUCAGUCUGAGGUGGAGCCCAAGAAUUUGUAUUUCUAACACGUUCCUGGGCAGUGCUAAUGCUGUUGAUCUAGGGUUGGCAUGUAGCUAGCAGAAAAGAGUGGGAUGGAUCUGGGAUUAAAAUCCAAACCCAGUGUGCUGCACUUAACUACUCAGCCACACUUCCUCCUGGGGCGUCCCUUACACUGGGGGGUCAAGUGGUAAUGUCCGUAUGAACUCAGAAUCUGUUUGUUAGCAAAGAAUGGGUCUGAUUUAUUUAAUAUUGUUGGCUCAGGUUUUGACAGGUGCAUAGCUAGUCAUGCUAACAUUUAUUCAUUCAUUUAUCUCAUUAAUGUACUCACCUUUCCUUUGAGCAAACAUGCUGAGCACCUACUAUAGCCUAUGUGUUCAGUAAAAAUGCUGUGUUGGGCUUCUGGAGCUGAAGAUGAACAAAACACAGUUCAUGGCCAAUAGCAGGGCACGGUGUGUGUGGGGAAGGGUAGGGAGGAGAUACAUGGCCAGAUCUUGACCAAAUACCUCAGUGGAUGCCACUAAUAAAACCACAAAAAGUAGAGAAGAGGGAGAGGCAUCCAGGAGAAGGUGACCUCUCAACCCUGGGGAUGAGUCAGAGGGAGGGAAUAGGGGGAAGUGUAGUCUAGGAGGCAGAGGGAAAAAUCUGUGCACAAAAUUACAGCUAGCCAGGAGCAAUAAGUUCUAGUGUUCUAUACCACAAUAGGAUGACUGUAGUUAACAACUAUAUAUAUAUAUAUAUAUAUAUAUAUAUAUAUAUAUAUAUCUCUUCAAAUAGCCAGAAAGAGGAUACUAAUAUUCCCAACACAAAGAAAGGAUGCUGGAGAUGAUGGAUAUGCUAAUUGCCCUGACCUGAUCACUAUGCAUUAUAUGUAUCAAAACAUCACUGUGUACCUCAGGAAUAUGUACAAUUAUUGUGUGUCUAUUAUAAAAUGCACAGACACAAUCCCCCAUUCUUUGUCAUUCCUUUCUACAUACUCUAUCCUCUUGUCCAACUAAUUGUGAGAAGGGUUCUUUGCCUAGAACCUAUCUCAGAGUCUACAGAGAGAACUCAGGGCUUCUGUGAUCUUGAAUGGGAAAGUUACAUUUUUACAUUCAUUAACGUUUACGCAAAUUUAGUGUUUCCUCUAGUUCUGAAUGUAAGGAACAAACCACGGUAGAAUUAGCAUUUCCACGGUACCUGUGACUUUGUUACCAUCAGAAAUCACAGAUAUUUUCAUACCACAUUACAGUCGUUGCAGGUAUCUCAAAAUAGUAUUUGUGCUCAUCACUGCUUUAAAAUUAUAGCAGUGAAACUGGCGGUGACAUCUCGUAAUUUAAUUUGUUAAUAAACAUACAUUACUGAUCACAUUUUUAAAAAAUGACAUGCAAGUGCCCAGAGAUCUCAAAUGGCAGCCCCAUGCAGACACUAUUUCAGGUGUUGGUUUCUACACAGGGAAGGGAGAGUGAUGAGAGUGAGUGGAAAGGCUUGCAGGCACCCUCAUAGAAAAGACCUGUAAGCAGCUGGGCACGGUGGCUCACGCCUGUAAUCCCAGCACUUUGGGAGGCCGAGGCGGGCGGAUCACCAGGUCAAGAGAUCGAGACCAUCCUGGCUAACACGGGGAAACCCCGUCUCUGCUAAAAAACAAAUAAUCAGCUGGGCGUGGUAGCGGGUGCCUGUAGUCCCAGCUACUCGGGAGGCUGAGGCAGGAGAAUAGCGUGAACCUGGAGGGCGGAGCUUGCAGUGAGCCGAGAUUGCGCCACUGCACUCCAGCCUGGGGGACAGAGUGAGACUCCGUCUCAAAAAAAAAAAAAAAAAAGAAAAGACCUGUAAGCUGAGGGCACUGGAGAGCCCUGGGCAAAUUUGAUGCAAGGGUCAGGUCUGAAGGGCUGGAGGAUGGAGACAGGAUAGGAGGGUGCCAGGCUGGGAGCCCAAGGCCAUCGCCAUCACAAGGUAGCAGUGGGGUGGGAGGGAGCUACAGACAUGGGCGCUGGCAGGUGUGGGGUCUGGGACAAGAGGGGUCAAAGGGGCACCGAGACUUCCAGUUUGCUCAGCUAGGAGGUGGGGUGGGAGGCUGAGGGAGUGGGGCUGGUUGGUGGAGGGAGGAUAAGAGAGUGAUCUUGUACCUUUGCAGGGCUCUUUAUGGCUCAAGAAUUCCCAACCCCAGGACUCAAGAUACUGUCAGUGUCUGCCAGUUUCCCAGGGGCUACAAAAUAGCCCACAGCCCACUUACCUUUGGUGGGGCCCACUUCACUUACCACCCAUGUUGCUGAGACUGAGAUAUUCCAAAGGCCUUUGGAGGCCAUCAAGAUCCCUAGAAAAUUUAGUUGGCAUUGACUUGCCACCUCCUCCUCUUUCCCGUUAAAAGAAGAUCCUGUGAGAGUCGAGGGUGGGGAGAGUCUAGCCCUCGAGGAGGUUAGGUACAGCCGUGCUGUGGUCCAGCCUUCCUCUGAGGAGGUUAGGUACGUCCAUGCCACUGAUAGGGAAACGGAGGCAGGACAGCUUGUUAGGGAUAGUAGGAGGUUUCCCAAGGCCCAGGGCUGGGCCUCCAUGGGGUUUUUAUGGUUUUUACUGAAAAGGCAGGGAGGAGAAAGCUUGGACGGCUGGGGAUACAGCUAGGGAAGGAGAGUGGGAGUGGGUGCCUGGAUGGAGAGAACAGAGCAGGCCCUGGGGGCCAUGGAGGGAAAGGGUAAUUUAGAAGAAAUCCUGCAGGGCAGGGGAGAGGCGCCCUGGGAUUUGGCCUUAGUGCCAGGGAGGCAGCAGAAGAGUCUUACCUUGACCCGGUCCAGCACCACCAGGGGCCCGUUCACGCUGCACACAGUCCUGUAGGCUGGGGGAGGGGCGGGGGUGAGUAGGGGUCUCACCCCAAACACCCUGCUCACACACACAGAGGCAUCCUCUGCCUUCCCUUCCUCUCUCCACACCCCACCUCCUUCCCAGCCUGGGCCGUCAGGGUCAUUAGCUGUGACAGGGCCAGCCACCAUUGCUGUAAGGGUCAUGCCCCUGCCCGCAGGGCCCCUGCUGCUCGGACACCUGCAGGAGGCUGGGGGAGGGCCAGGCAGAGGGCAGAGGCCUCCUCAGAGUCCGCCCCCACCACACAGAGGCCUCUCAUCCCUGAGGCUGCUUCCCCUCUGGCUUCAACCCCCACCUCACCCACUCCCUCCUCUCUCACUCCAAGCAUUUUCCAAAAGCUCCUGGCCCCCGGCUGUGGCCGAAAAGUGCCCUCCUCUGCCCUCACCAGGACUGCAUUUCCCUCCAUUCACCCCACACUGAUUGAGCAGUGUGUGUGUGUGUGUGUGUAUGUGGUGUGUAGGGGGUGCAGACGUCAGUGAGAAAAACCAGACGGGGCCUCUGCUCUCAUCACAAGGUUCCUGGACUCCCCAGGCUCACUGGGUGCUCAGCAUGGGAGGGGAGGGAGUGAAAAGGCAAGGGAAGGAGGGAAAUGCCUGCAGAUGUGGCAGCUGCAGAGACCCACACAUGGCAAAUGAGCUCAGCUUGCAUAGGGAAUUGGGUUAGAUGCCAAAAAAUACUUCCUAACUCCCAUAGAAGAAGCUGUGGACUUGCGGGAGGCAAGCCUAGUUUUGGUUCUGCUAGAGGCUGGCUGAGAGACCUGGGACAGUCCCUUGCCCAUAGUCCUGACCAGUGCCCUUCUCUGAGGUUCUUGUGAUGCACCAAUGAGAUGAGACACCUGAGAUGAAGGCAUUUGGCAAGGUGGGCAGGGGGUCUGUGAGGCCUCUGGGUCAGCCACAGGCUGGCAGGAUGCAGAGGGGAGUGGCCCAACCCCUCUUUCACAGGCAAGGAAAAUGGGGCCCAGAAGUGUGAGAAGCCUUGCCCAGGGCCACACAGCACAUCUGUAGCAGAGCUGGGGCUGGGAACCCACCCUGUGCUUCUUGCUGGACCACACUGGUUCUCGGUUCACUUACCCUCUUGCUUUGGGCAAGCCUGGCCCCGAGCCACCCCAUGCCAAAGAAAAACCAAAAGUCCCUCCCCUUCCCAGUCUGGAUAUGUGUGGUCAAGCUUCUUCUUUUUGUUUGAUCUAAGCUCUUUUCACCAGGACUUGGACUAGGAAGAUCAACUGGGCACGGUGAUUCUUGCACAGAUUUUUAUAAGGAUCCUCCAAGUGUAACAACCAUUUGGAAAACUCCGGGCCUUGAGGACAGCCAGAGAAGAUAAGUUCAACUUGCACUUUGCCAGAGCAGGGGAUCUCCCUCAGCUCCCUGCCUUCAAACCUACCUUACAGACCUGCCUGGCCUGCACCUGAGCCACCCUCUUCUUCCUUCCUAUUCCCACUAAGGAGGUGUCCCUGCUUCCUUCAUAGUGGGUCCUUCCCCUGCACCGGGAAACAGGCCCUAGAGAUGACUCCAUGGGGUGAAGGACCAGAGCCUCCUUGCCUCUCUCUCUGUCUCUCUCUCCCUCUCUUGUCUUCCCAUGAAGCUCUGAUGUUUCCAGUACAAAAUAAACCUCGCUCAGUCCCAGUCCUUCUCCAGUUCCUCCCCUCACAAGCAUGGCCCCCCACUGCUGGCUUUCCUUCCCCACCUUCCACCCUCUCCUUGGCCUUCUCCACUCUGGCUUCAGUGGCCUCCGAUGGCUACACUCAGAGCCUGGGUGCACUGUCCUUUGGAAGCUUCCCUCUGGGGCCGCCUGUCAGCCUCCUCUGAAGACUCACACUCCUCGCUCUCAGACCUUUGGGUGCUGGAGGACUUCGAGGUUUGGCCUGGCUCUCCACUUCUUCCUCUCCUUUCCUCUGAGAUCUGCCUUCUUCCUUCCCUCCCUGCUUCCUUUCUUCAAGCAUAUCUACUGCAUGGAUGCCUUCUAUGUACUAAGCUAGGCAAAUGAAAGUGACAAAUGAAAAUGUGAAGUGCCUACAGGCUAAAAGAAGGAUACAGAGCAAAUAACAUAAUUACAAACUGCAGUGGGUGCUCCUAAGGGAAAGAUCAGGAUGGGUGAACGAGAGUGGGAGGGAAGACCAGACUGGGUGCGCUUGGAGGAAGCAUCUUAUGGGAAGGGCCGUUUGAGCUGAGCCUUCAGGGUCAAGGGGUGCCAGCCCCCAGGGAGCUGGGGAAAGGGCACUUCUGGCAGAGGAGAGAAAGGACUCAUCCAGGGCCUUCGUGGAACAGAAAGAGGGGCAGUGGGCUGGCAUGCACAGGCUCGCUUCAGGUGCAGUAAGACCUGUCACCUCCAGGAGGGCAAGACAUCAUCUGUGGUGCUCAUCGUUGUGUCCCACUUCAUGGAAUAGUGCUGGGAAUAUGGUACACACUCAAGAAAUAUUUGGACAGCUACAGUGGCUCACACCUGUAAUCCCAGCACUCUGGGAGGCUGAGGUGGGUGGAUCACUUGAGCCCAGGAGUUCGAGACCAGCCUGGGCAAUAUGGUGAAGCCUCGUCUCUACAGAAAAAUUUAAAAAUUAGCUGGGCAUGGUGGAACGUGCCUGUGGUCCCAGCUCUCAGGAGGCUGAGGUGGGAGGAUCACCUGAGCCCAGGGAGGUUGAGGCUGCGGUGAGCUCUGAUCAUGCUAUUAUUGCACUCCAGCCUGGGUGACAGAGUAAGAUCCUGUCUCAAAAAAAAAAAAAAAAAAGAAAAAGAAAAAGAAAAAAGAAAAAAAGAAGAAAAAGAAAUCUUUGUGGAUGGAUUAUGAAAGGUGUUAACUGACCCCAUCUGCUCCUUCUCAUACUUCCCACAUCAGAACCAUUGUGUGCCCCCUCCCGACCUUCCCAAGCCUCCAAACCAAAUGAGAGUCCCAUUGACCAGCCUAAAGGGUUGCACCCCUAGCACCAGCCAUACUUCCUGAGAAGGCAGAGAGUAGAAGAGAAAGAGGAUGUACUGGGCUAAGGGGCUGUUGGGCAUAGGAAGACUCCUCAACGAGAAAGGGUAGGAGACAGAGGCUUGGGCAUUACCCUUCCCAUCAAUUAAAAAAAACUCCAAACAGCCACAGCACUCCCACACCCACAUGGUGUUUGGAUCAGAUUGUCUGGAUUGCUAGUGGAUUGUGCAAGCAAAGGGAUGCAGGGCAGGCAGGAGAGACCCUCAUUUUUAUAAGCCCCCGGGAGAGCUGGCAUCUUGCAUGCCACACCUGCCAAAGGGCUGCGCUGGGGGAAGAAAGCAGUGAUGUAAAGAUGCAGGGUGGGUGGGCUGGAUAGGGAGGUGGGGGUGUGGGAGGGGAUGGGGCCCAAGGACCAGAAAAGUCCAGGGAAUCAUUUCUAAUUCCACUGCCUCAGGAGACAAGUCUUUCAACUUCCUCCCUUCCUUCACAGCUGCUCCCCCACUUCACAGCCCCUGUCAUGUAGAAUCCCCAUUAGCCCUGACAUCCAGCAACUCCACCUGGGAGUGGGGGCAGCAGCAGAGUGGGGGACAGAGGAUUAGGGGAUCCACACAGCCCUUCCCUCAGGAGGAAGGGCUGGGCUGGAAGGGGCCUAGAGGCAGCUGCAAAGUGCUUGCUGCAGGUCCUCUGGGAGUCAGAUGCCUUCCCCGGCCAGGCCGCUCGGGUGACCGGGGUGAGAUAUCGAAGCUCAACAUCUUAGCACAUCAGCCUCAGCUGUGAGUUGCCUUCCUGGGCUUCUCGCAGCCUCCAGGCCUGGCUCUGGGUGAACACAUCGCUUCAUGGCCUGGACCCAUCAUUGCAGAUAAUCCACUUAGGCGGCUGUUUCUGUUCAGCAUUGGACUAUGCCCAUCCUUCAAGGCCUUGCCCUUGACUGACUACUGCAGCCCACUGGGUCCUCUCCCCACUGCUGUCCCACGGUACUACAGACUGGGACCCUAGAGGGAUGUCUCUCCCGUCAGAUGUCUUAGAGCUCUGCCUCUCCCCUGUUAAGCCAGCCUGAUCUUUUCUUCUAGGCUGUUUGGUUUGGACACAGCCAAAAUGGGGGCUGAGCAACAGAGGUGUCCUUGACUGCAAGCCGGUCCUUUUGUUUGUACACUGCCGCCCCUACCUCCGUGUGUCCCUUGCAUGGAGUGGCAAAACGAGGCCCAGAAAGUGGGCUAGUUUCUGGCAGGACGCACCACAGUUCAAGACGGUAUCCUGCAGCGCUCAGCGAUUAUGGCCCACUCUGCAACCCUGGGAUGUUCGCCUUGACCCUGGAGAGGGAAGCGGGUGCAUUGCCACAGGCAGAGGGCUGGAUCAGAAGACCCAAAGGGCGCUCCUUCCAUGGGCCUUCCAGAGACUUUGCAGACACUCCCUCCAGCUGCCCGGCCCACCCCCUCUCCAUUGUCUUAGCUGACACUUUGGGUUGCGCUCCGGACUUCUGGCUGGUGGAGCGCCUCCCUGCCCCCACCUCCCUACCGCCUUUUCUGUCAAAGGCUCAGCGGGGCCCCCGCGCGGCCCACUAAUUAGCGCUGGCCCAGCCACACCUGCAGCGUCCUGGGAGAGGGCUGAGACAGGCGCCCAUGCGUGAGGCCGGGAUGGGGGCAAGCCCGGGGCAGCAGGUCCCGCACCUCCUCCCUGAUCCCGCUGGAGGGAUUAGAGGAGGGAGGGCAGGGGCUGGAAGCUGAGGGCUCUUCAGCCCAAGACCCUGCUUGUUGGGACUCUCUCCGUGUAACUCCUUCCCCUUCCAGUUGAGGAAACCGAGGUGGGGAGGCAAAGACAGUGGUUUGGCACUCAAGCUCCUGGGGGAUCUUCAGGGAUCUGACCUGGCUUCAUCCCUCCAACCAGGCUGCCAGCUUGUCCUUCCUGACCUUUGCUCCUGCUGGGCACCUCCACCCUCCAAGCCCAACAUCUUCUGCCCAAACAGAUGAAGCUCCAGGAUACCUCCUCCCCAGCCGGGAGCCAAGGCCCUUGGGGAACCAUUCUAGCUCCACGGGAGGCACAGGGGACCCUUCUUUCCCAAGGUAGAUGUUGGCAGGGUCAGCUCCCCAGGCUGCCUCCACUCUUUCUAGUGUCUCCUCCUUUCUAGCCAAUCCUCUCUCAGCCACUGCAGUGAAAUCAGCCUUAAAGUCUCAGGCCUCUUUAGCCCACCUCCCCCGGGGGAGGGGAAUGCCUAAGUCACCUGGACUCACCUCCACCGUGGCCCAGCGAGCACUGGGGCCUCCCUGCCCUUAGGCACCCCCAGCUUUUCUCCCAGAGUUCUCCUGUCUGGGAGUGCUUACAGACCCAGGGUAGGAGGCCAGGCUGGGGAGGAGACAGGUGGAGAGGGACAGAGUGGCCCUGCCUCUGGCGUACUGAGGGUGCAGCCCUAAAUUUCCAAACCCUUGCCAGCCCUGCGCCUGUCCACAGGCCCCAGGGAGAACCACCCCCCUCAUCCCUCCCACUCCCAGAGCCUGAGGAGGAAGUGAGUGAGGCGGGGAGGGGAUUGGGAGACACUGUGGAUGAAGGGACACACCAAGGAAUCCCAGCCUUCCCCUGGGGGUGGGAGGGCAUCUGGGCUGGGCUGAGGCUGGCCCGGUGCAUCCUGUGAGGAUACUUGAUAGGCAGCAAAAGUAAAGGCGCUGGCAGGGAGCAGAGCCUAGAGGGGCUCCCCUGCACUGACCUUUGCUCUGGGUCCACUGUUGGGUUGUUUGGUGUGAACACAUUCUCCUGGGUGGAGGCCAUAUAGAGCCAGCAUCGAGGGAAGCAUGCAAACAUGGGGGGCGGGCACAGCCAUCCCUGGGUUCCAGCCUGGGUCAGAACCUCCAGGGCAUGUUGACUAUACAUAAGGGGCUGGGUGGGAAAGAGCUGGCUGGAGGUGGCUCCAGGCUUGGGCCAACCUGCCCAGAGGAGUGUGGGGUUAGAUGGUACCUAUAGGGUCCCUGGGUAUCAGGAGGUGGGGGCACUUUCCAGGAAGAAGGAAAGCAGAGCAUGAAGGUGCAGAUCACACACCACACUCAGCACCCAGCAACUCCCGGGUGCCUGCAGGGAGGAGGGACGGCCUGCAGGGAGUGGGGCUCAUCACAACAGACUGGCAAGAGUCACACAUGCCAGCUCAGGGCUCCAGGCCUGGGCUCUGGACCCAAGGGGGCCCAGUCACUGCAUAUUUCUGGGCCUUGGUGACCCUAGCUUUGGCCUAGGGAGUAUCCGGACCUCCUAUCCUCCCCCGAGCUCCAUGGGGCAGGGCCUACAGGCCUUGCUUGAGAAAUCUGACCCACCCCAUUCUCACCAUUUCUUCUUAGCUGGAAUGUGCUCCACCCUCAGCACCUGCCUCAGGCCUCAGGAGGUGCCCCACACCCCAGGGCUCUCCUCCCAUGCGCCCCCGGGCCCCUUUACUCUGAUUUCACCCCUCAGCUACCCUCUGAGUUCACUCCACCUCCUCUCCUGGCCUGGAUAGCAACAGAGGAACAGAGGGAGGUGGGGUGGCUGCAUCAGGCUCACUUCCCCUCACACCACACUCCCUGUUAGGAGCCUCUGGCUCUGCAUAGCUGUGGCGGGCCAUGCUGGUUUACUCCAGUGAGCCUCUGGCUCUGCAUAGCUGUGGCGGGCCAUGCUGGUUUACUCCAGUGAGCCUCUGGCUUUGCAUAGCUGUGGCGGGCCAUGCUGGUUUACUCCAGUGAGCAGGGCGGCCUGAGAAUUCACCAGGCCAGGGAGAGUGACCUUGGACAAGGAGAUGCAGGGGUUCCCUUUGGUCCUCUGGACCUUGCCCCAGACAUCUGGGCCACCCUUGCAGGACAGGCACAGGAGCCACAAGUAGGGCCUCCCCUCUGAAAUUGACAAGGGUACAUCCCAGCACCUGUAGACACUUCCAUGCCCCACACCUGGAUACGCAUUCUUAUCCCAGCUGUACACACACUCACCAUACUCAGAUAUGUGACACUGCCAGAACACAUACACAAGUGUUCUCUCCAUGAGUGCACAUGCACACACGUACAUCACACCUAAGUGCACACACACACACCUUUGCCCUGAGUGCAUAAGCAUGCAGUCACACAUUUCCUUACCCCAAGUGAAGGUGGGAGCACCCCCUAGGCACAUGCUCCUACCUGCUUAUGCACACAGGCACCCUCCUCAGAACACACAUACGACAUGCACCCAUUGAUGUGACGCACACGGGGCACCUAUUUCCUCAGGCUGAGAGCGCUGACACUCUGCACUGCCACACACACCACUCCAAGUACACUUAAUCACACCCCGCCUGACUCUGAGUGCUUGGGUGCACACUCCUCACACAGGCACGUUUACACAAGAGCAGGUGCACAGCACACCCCACUCUCAGGGGCAACUGGAAGCUAUCUCUGGACUUCGGGUGUUACAGCAGGAUUGGGCUGAUGACAGCUACUCCCCAGCCCUCUCUUCUGGGGUGGGCUGGGCUGGGGACCUGCAACCCUUCACCUGCAGAGGUGGCCUCUGGUCCAGGUGGCCCCACUGCGUCACUCUGCUGGACAGAGAGCCCUCCAGGUCUCCCCAGGUCUUGGGUCCUCCUCCUUUUCUGAGGCAAGAAGCGGGGCCCGGGAACCUGGCAGCCCACCCCAGCUCCCCACCCUGACCUCACCCGUCACGGUGGAGGGGCUACUCACUGACACGGGGGUGGGUGAUGUAGUUUCGGGUGACCGCCUGCAUGUGUUCUCGGGCUGCACCUAGGUUGCAGCUACUGCCGGGGAGCCCCCCAGGCCUGCUGUCUAUCUCCAUGGCCAUGGAGCAGUCCCCAGCUGGGAGCCCAGUGUCUGAGCCUGCUGCUGGUGGCAGCUCUGAGACUUCAGGUCCAGCUGGAGCUGGAGAGAGCUGCUCAGCCUUCCCCUGCAGCCACCCCUCCCCUCUCCCCCUCCCCUCCCUCUCCUCCUCCUCUAGGUUGACAGUAAACAAGGAAGCCUGGGGCUCUGGCUCCCAAGCUUUCCCCACACCAAGCUGUGCAGGUCUGGGAGGGGCCCCCGUCACCUGAGAGCUGGAGGAUGUGGAGGGAGAAGGGAAGAGGGGAGGGCUGGCUUUUUCCUUCUUCUGUGCUAGGCGGUUCCUCCCCGCCAACCCCAAACUGUAUGAAUUCAAUUCCUCCCCUGGACCAUCAGGUGCUGUCAACAUUCCCACACUCGUCCCUCACCACAGCUCUUUCUGGUCUCUCCACACCCAACUUCUGGCAGGCUGCCCUUUCUUCACUGUUCUCGCAACCUGACCUUACCCUGCACUCCUUGCCCUGACUAUACCUGGAUACUUCUGCCCCCUGACAAUUCCAUCGUCAUCUUUUUGAACAUCUGUAGAGAAUUAUUUCCUGGUCAGCCUCAGUGCCAUCUCCUACAUGAAGCCUUCUCUGGAUUCUCUAGCAGCCAAGAUUUACUACACAUCUAGCCUCUUUCCUAAGUCAUGCCCUUUAGGAGAGGCCUCUCUUGUCCCUGCCACUGGGCUGUGAGCCCCCAAAAGCUGAGCCUGUGUCUCAACCCACAGACCUGGGUCUCCUGAAGCCUGUCUGUCUCAUACUAUUGAGAGUUCUUGAGAAUGAGGGCUGGUCUCUCUCCAUCUGAUCAUAGAACCGUGUCUCAUCUUCUCACAUUCACCUCCAGAUUUCUAUACAGCAGGCCUGCCCUGACCUUUCCAGCCCAGGUCAGAAAGUAAAAUGGAGGUCCCUGUAUUGUAUAACUAAAUACCUGGAGUUAUAAAUCAAACUAUGUGCACAGCCUGGCCUGGGUUCCACCCAAGACCUCACCACUGCUUCCCAAGAACUCUCUCUUCAUGUCAUGAAACUAAGAGUUGUGGUUUCUCCUGGUGAGUGGAGUGUGGUACAGUUCCUCUGGGCAAGGCAGGGUGGACCCUGGGUGGUAGCUGGACCUGCCCAACCCAAGGUCUUCUAGUCACCCCCAUGCCUCAUUCUAGGCUCAGGAUUUCUGCAUUUCUAAGCUCCUCCCCAAACCAUACCACUGAGCAGAGGGAACGGCAGAAGUACAUUUGCCUAGGGAUCACUGUCCCCAAGCACCCACUCCAGGUGACUCAGGACAGCCAAUUUGAAACCAAAGCAGCAGCUACUAUGUUUCUCAGAGCAGACUGGAGGAGACUGUGCUUGUUAUUUCUCUUCACAGAGUCAAAAUCUUACCCCGCAUCCUCCCUCCUGAGGACCCAUUUCAGGUCUCUGGUUCCUAAUGCCCAUCCUUUCAAAGAACUCUCCUGUGGAGGGCGGGGGUGGGUGUGACCAUCAAGGAGCAGCAUGAGGAAGAUCUCUGUGGUGAUGGAACAGGUCUGCAUCUGGAUUGCAGCAGUGAGUCCAUGAAUCUAUAAAAUGACAUGGCACUAUGCACACACACGGUACCAAUGCCAAUUUCCUAGUUUUGAUAUUGUACUAUAGUUAGGGAAGAUGAAGCCUAUCUGUCUCAUACUAUUGAGUUCCUGCCAAUGGAAGGAACUUCUCUGUCCUAUCUCUGCAGCUUCCUGUAAAUCUAUA
rnacentral:lncRNA from 1 species